rnacentral:tRNA from 2 species
GCUGGUAUAGCUCAAUUGGCAGAGCAGCUGAUUUGUAAUCAGCAGGUUGUAGGUUCAAGUCCUAUUACCAGCUCCA